UUGCAGGCAGGUAAAGAGGAUCCCAAUGCUUCCAAUCAAAGCAGCUUUAAGGGCAGAGAAUGUGGCCCUGUGUGGCUGUUUCUGAGAUUUGCUGUUUUCAACUUGCCAGGGGUCUGAGAAAAGUGGCAGCCUGCCCCACAACCAGUCAUGUGCCUCCGCCCCUCCCGCUUCACUUCCUGGACUCUGGGUUCCAACCACCUCAGUGGGACUCCAGCUUGGGUGCUGGGGCACCAGACUGGACAUUCUGUGAGGCUCUGGGUGCUCCACGCCCGCCCGCCUGCCUGCCCGCCCAGGGCUCAGGAAGUCUGGUCCACAGCCAGUUUUAGGAAAUUCACAGAGGGAGGGGCCAAAUCAGACAGGAGAAGCAGCUGGAUCCAGGACCUGGCUUCUCUCGCGGAGAGGACGAGGAGGGGACAUGCACCAUAGAGACGUAAGUAGACCUCAGCUGGACUUGAUUCAAACAAAACCAACUACUUAAUGACAUGCACGUGGUAACCCCGGAAAUUUGAUGAUGGUAACAUGGGCCAUUAUAUGUACAGUGAAUUAUUAUUGCAGUUAUGUUCGAAUUUUUUAAAGACCGUUUUCAGAGACUUGGUAAGUAUUUAUAAACGACAGGACAUCUGAGAUUUGCUUCCAAAUAAUCCAGUGGUGGGAAAGGGUCUGUAGGGCUUGGAGAACACAGGCCUGGUGAAAACUCACUGCUGAGGCUCGGGUGGGCAUGUGGGUGGUUUGUUGUUUAAGUAACAGCUUUGUUGUAAUACAGUAAUUUUCAGGUUACAGAGCUAUGCAACCAUAACCAUGACUUAAAAUUUUUUAUCUGCUUGAAAUGCUCCUCCUUGCUUCAUGGCACGGGGUCAGAGGCACUGAUGUCUGAACCGUCUGGGGCGUUUCUGUUCAUCCCCGACUAGGGCAGCAGGAGCCCCAGGGUAGCUCCCACCUGUCCUGGGACAGCAAACGGUCACAGGUGGUGUUUACACCAGCUCCUGCCCCAGCCUGAGGGUCUGUAGCCCACAGAACCUGGGUAUGCCAGUCCAGUCUGUUUGCUGGAUGAUAGGCGAGUAUCCAAAAGGCCAGGGCUCUGACUCAAGGGGCAUCUCCAGGGAGACCAGGCUGCAGCACCAACCCCCUGCCCCUACCACAGGAACUGUCUCGAGGGGCUUGUAGUGGCAGGUGCCUGCUGGGAAGGGGCAGCCCUGG
ensembl:lncRNA